rnacentral:rRNA from 1 species
GUGGGGAAUCUUCCGCAAUGGACGAAAGUCUGACGGAGCAACGCCGCGUGAAGGAAGAAGGUCUUCGGAUCGUAAACUUCUAUCCUUGGUGAAGAUAAUGACGGUAGCCGAGAAGGAAGCCCCGGCUAACUACGUGCCAGCAGCCGCGGUAAUACGUAGGGGGCAAGCGUUGUCCGGAAUGAUUGGGCGUAAAGGGCGCGUAGGCGGCCUGGUAAGUCUGGAGUGAAAGUCCUGCUUUUAAGGUGGGAAUUGCUUUGGAUACUGUCGGGCUUGAGUGCAGGAGAGGUAAGUGGAAUUCCCGGUGUAGCGGUGAAAUGCGUAGAGAUCGGGAGGAACACCAGUGGCGAAGGCGACUUACUGGACUGUAACUGACGCUGAGGCGCGAAAGUGUGGGGAGCAAACAGGAUUAGAAACCCCUGUAGUCC